AUUGAACGCUGGCGGCAUGCCUUACACAUGCAAGUCGAACGGUAGAGGGGCAACCCUCGAGAGUGGCGAACGGGUGAGUAAUGCAUCGGAACGUGCCCAGUCGUGGGGGAUAACGUAGCGAAAGCUACGCUAAUACCGCAUACGACCUGAGGGUGAAAGCGGGGGACCUGCAAGGGCCUCGCGCGAUUGGAGCGGCCGAUGUCAGAUUAGGUAGUUGGUGGGGUAAAGGCCUACCAAGCCGACGAUCUGUAGCUGGUCUGAGAGGAGGACCAGCCACACUGGGACUGAGACACGGCCCAGACUCCUACGGGAGGCAGCAGUGGGGAAUUUUGGACAAUGGGCGCAGGCCUGAUCCAGCCAUGCCGCGUGCGGGAAGAAGGCCUUCGGGUUGUAAACCGCUUUUGUCAGGGAAGAAAUCUUCUGGGUUAAUACCUCGGGAGGAUGACGGUACCUGAAGAAUAAGCACCGGCUAACUACGUGCCAGCAGCCGCCGUAA
rnacentral:rRNA from 1 species